AAUUUUACUCUAGAUGAAGGCAGCAGCUAACGAAGGUAGAGAAGGGAAGAUCAAAUAUGCUCUCGUGGUGGGUGGCUUCGCUCUGUAAGAAGAUGAAGGACAAACUGCUGUUGACUGAGGGACUUCAGAGCAUUUUUGAGGCGACUCAAGAAACAGAAGAUCUCGGGGCACAGGAGAUUUUACAGGCCCCUGCACCUCAGGCCCCUGGUUCCCAGAUCCGUCUCCACCAGGUCCCCCACUGGACCUCCUACUGGAUUUAAAUUGCAGCCUGUCUCCAAGAUCUUACACCAUGAGGUCCCUGCAC